AACAAGGAAAGGGUUUAUAUUAACCCAGAUAUUGAAAUAAGUUUCUUGCGCUGCCUUGUGGGGCAGCUUGUCAGACAACAUGCCAAAGAAAACAAUAUCCAUGGAGGUCCUUACAUGGCCGGUUGCCCGCCACCGUGGUGGCCAGAGGACUUGCCCUUUUCCUCUCCAAACAGUGGGGAAAACAGGGGCAUGUUUACAGCAUCCAUACUACGAAAAAUCAUCUCCAC